GCUAUACAUGCAGUCGAGCGGACAGAAGGGAGCUUGCUCCCGGAUGUUAGCGGCGGACGGGUGAGUAACACGUGGGUAACCUGCCUGUAAGACUGGGAUAACUCCGGGAAACCGGAGCUAAUACCGGAUAGUUCCUUGAACCGCAUGGUUCAAGGAUGAAAGACGGUUUCGGCUGUCACUUACAGAUGGACCCGCGGCGCAUUAGCUAGUUGGUGGGGUAAUGGCUCACCAAGGCGACGAUGCGUAGCCGACCUGAGAGGGUGAUCGGCCACACUGGGACUGAGACACGGCCCAGACUCCUACGGGAGGCAGCAGUAGGGAAUCUUCCGCAAUGGACGAAAGUCUGACGGAGCAACGCCGCGUGAGUGAUGAAGGUUUUCGGAUCGUAAAGCUCUGUUGUUAGGGAAGAACAAGUGCGAGAGUAACUGCUCGCACCUUGACGGUACCUAACCAGAAAGCCACGGCUAACUACGUGCCAGCAGCCGCGGUAAUACGUAGGUGGCAAGCGUUGUCCGGAAUUAUUGGGCGUAAAGGGCUCGCAGGCGGUUUCUUAAGUCUGAUGUGAAAGCCCCCGGCUCAACCGGGGAGGGUCAUUGGAAACUGGGAAACUUGAGUGCAGAAGAGGAGAGUGGAAUUCCACGUGUAGCGGUGAAAUGCGUAGAGAUGUGGAGGAACACCAGUGGCGAAGGCGACUCUCUGGUCUGUAACUGACGCUGAGGAGCGAAAGCGUGGGGAGCGAACAGGAUUAGAUACCCUGGUAGUCCACGCCGUAAACGAUGAGUGCUAAGUGUUAGGGGGUUUCCGCCCCUUAGUGCUGCAGCUAACGCAUUAAGCACUCCGCCUGGGGAG
rnacentral:rRNA from 1 species